CUGCCUGGACCUGCGCGCGCCUGACCCCGCGAGGCACGUAAGAAGGGGCAUUGCACGCGCAGACCCCGGGGGCCCCAGCUCGCGCCCGGCCUGGCUCUUCUAGGCCGGCUGCCUCGGAUAGGCGCCGCACCUGAUCGUCUACCAUCGAGGCUCAGGACUUUAGCGGCCUCCGCCGGGAAGACAGCACUGGAUCCCCAGCAGCCCUUCGUGACCACUUCAUGCUAUCUCCACAAUCUUUUGGGGGCUGGAAAGAUUGCUAAUCCCAUUUCAUAGAGUCUGUGAGCGUCACCUGUCUGGAGAGAGAGAACUAAUACUGACUGAUCACCUCCUGUAUGCCAAGCAGCAUGCCUUGUGCUUCAAACAUCUUGACUCAUUGGAUUCUGCCCACGACCCCAUGAAAUGAGAAAAUGGAGGCCCAGAGAGGGCAAGUAACUCAUGCAAGCUCCCGCAACCACCAAACAGCAGAGACAAGAGAGAGAGAGAGGGACAAGACCUCUUGGGGCUGAACAAGGAGGCAGCACUGGGACAGGAUCAAGAAACUGCUUCUUACUAGCUAUUCGACCUC